rnacentral:tRNA from 1 species
UUUUAAUAGUUUAAUAUAAAAUAUUGAUUUUGUAAAUCAAAGUUACUCAGGAUUUAAAACAU